CCCGGGCCUUGUACACACCGCCCGUCACACCACGAAAGUUGGCAACACCCGAAGCACGUGGCUUAACCCGCAAGGGGGAGAGCGUUCGAAGGUGGGGCUGGCGAUUGGGGUG
rnacentral:rRNA from 1 species